GUAGGAUGCUCGAAACUGAAUAAAUCGGUGAUUUACCAAAGAUUAAUUUAUAAAUCAGAUAACAACAAGAAAAAGUAAUUGUACUGUAGGUCUUUGACAAGAAGAUAAAACUAACCAGAGAUUUAUCAAAUAGAUGCAGAGAUUGCAGUUGCAGAAACCAAGCAUUAACAAGUGUUUCGACAAUGAAGGGUCAUUUAUGAAAUUGGUCGGAACUUAGCGAAUAAGCCAUCCAACAACCACUGUUUCCAAGGGACACAAAUGAACUCCGUUCAUGAGUUGGUUGUAAAACGCCUUCAGAAAAUCUUUCGAAUAGUCAUAUCCAAUCGACCAGUAUAAAACAUAAUAAUAAUAAUAAUAAUAGUAAAAGAAAGAAACAUAAAACACCAUACCAAUUCAUUGGUGAAGUCCAUAUACAACAUAGGUCCAACAACAUUGACAGCAAGUAUAAAUCUGCACGAACCUGAACUCCAGAAUAUAGCCCAAACCCCGUAGAACACCCCAACAAGUACCAGCUGACUAGCAAGAUAUAUGAGAGUUUUGUACUACAAAAAAUAUAUCAAUCUACUUUGUUAUCGAGAGAAUGACGUAUUAGAUAAAUGAAAGAAGUAGAGACCCUCAUGCGCAUGGGGCCCGAAGUGUAUAUGAUAAAGAUGAGAACAUAGCUAGCAGUGACUGACAAAGUAAUCCACCCAAGGACGAUUACUAGCGUCCUUUCUUCAUCAAAGAUAUCAAAUAUAAGUUCGAUGGCAGCGACCAAGAAAGAGAGCAAGUACAUUUCAAGGCUAUAUAGGCCAACAUUUUUACGAGUAAUACGAAACAUGAUUCUCCUAGGAUUAAAUAAGUUAAACAAAGUUAGUUUGAUCAGUAAUAAUUGCCUGAAUGAACUCAACACAGAAAAUUAAAAUUGCUUACAUUGACGGGACAAGGAGAACAAGUGACAAAAUAAAACCUGACACAAAUUAUAGGGAACAGUUAGGGGGCAGGACAAGGAAAAAAUGGAAGUAUUCAAGGAAUUGGUAAGUACCCUAAAAAAGAUAGGCCAAAGCAUCCUCAUUCUCAUUUGCCAUUUUCUGGGAGGUAAAGAUUAGCCUAAAAAGAGAUGAUCGAUCAAUAGCGAAUUAGACGAUCACGAUAACAAAGAAUCAUUCACCAUCACUCACAACGAUCUAUAAUAUCAUGGUCAUAGAUAAUCAUUCAGCAUCCAUCGCAACAAGAACUCAGUAUCAUUAACAGAAGAGUUCAUUGAAAAGUAUGCAUCUACGAAAUUAGAAGAUAUUGAUCAUGACAUCAUUAACAACAAGAACUUAGUAUCACAGCAAGAAUUUAGUAUCAUUAAUAGCAAGAACUUAAUAUCAUUAACAGAAGAGUUAAUAGAAAAGCAUACAUCUACGAAAUUAGACGAUAGGAUCAUCAAGAAAAAAGCAAAUCAUCAAAUAUCACCAAGCAAUGAACAAGAUCAUUACAAAUUCUGCCGAAAGAACUAAAAUAGUAAAAGAUCAUGUAGCACAGAAGAAGUUCAAUCAGUUACAUCCAGCUAUGAAACCCUAGUUCCUAAAGGGAAGGAAAUUCGCACUACAUUCGAUAUCAAUAACAGAGAAAUUGAAGCUAAAUAAACAAGAUAAUCGCUAAAAUCGAUUUAAAAAAGGAAACAGAUUGAGCAAAAAAUUUGACUUACAGCGAUGCUAUUUUGCCCUAGAAUUUGGGGAUUCUUGAGGGCAAAAUGAGAGCUUGGGCGUGAAAUAGAAUUGCAAGCUCGAUUUCUUCCUUUUAUAGGCGCUAGAAAGAGCGGGCAACGGUUGACGAAUUUCAAAAUAAUCAGGAGAAUGCGAAAACCCCUUUCCGAUAGCACUUGAACAGAGAGCUUUGAUUGGGAUUCCAAAGGACUGCUGCCAGCUGCCAGUCAAUAGCACUUGGCAAGUUUCAAUUCUCGGCGCGUCUCCUGCUUGUUCGCAGUAUUUCGAAAUGGUUCAAGUAUCCCCUAGCACUUACAAUGCUUACAAGUUUUAGUUUGGAAUUUGCUUUUAUAAAAGAGAUUGAUAGCAUGCUCCACAACCUCGAAAAAGAGAUUCAUGAUGUAGAUAUUGAUAAAAUUAGCCACCGGUACAAUUUACCUGGCAGAUUUCGCUCUCCCUUUCAAUAUGCUGUUGGGGAUGUAGUCACACUUGGGGGGAUGUAGUCACACUUGGACCGGGGAGCCUGCUUCUUAUGCUGUUUUGGUGUGGAGACCUCAAAAGGUGGGCCGGGAGAUCUCUUGUGAUAAAAUCGCUUCUAAAGGACUAUGCUAAGCAAAACAUAUCUGAGGUUCGAGGCCAGAUCACCAUGGUUGAUGUUAGUUCAUGUUGAUAUGUCGACACGAAGUGCCGCGUUUAUGGGCUUUGAAACGAGGGAAAGAGAUGUUUAAUGGAUGCUGAACAUUUGCGUUUGUAGGGAAGCAAAGAAGAGUAAAAGUUUGUGGAAUGCCCCACCAGUCUUAUAAACGGUAUAUUAAUUGAUGCUGUGGAGUUUGCAGAUGUUGUCUUGCUGCUGCUAAUCGAUCGAUGGAAGUUACUCUUUUGGAAUGGUGAGCUCUCCUGUAAACGGACUCCACAUUCAUAAGAUGUCUGAAUUCUAUGUGAUGAGGAAGAUACAUAGAAUGAUAUUUCACAGGACCCCUCCUCUUGAAGUUGCUUCUAAUUGUCACGACUUACGAAGUUCUUUGUUUCAAUGGGGGAGAGGCAAUUUAUAUACAUAGGUCUUCUCCUUUGGGAACUUUAAUCUUAACCAUCAUGAUUAACCGUA